UUUUGUCUUGUUUUGUCUUGUCUUUUCCUUUUCUUUUCCUUUUCUUUUUUCUAUAUUUUUCCUAUAUUUUUUUCAAAUUCAAGGUUCAAGGUUCAAGGUUCAA
rnacentral:ribozyme from 1 species